CGCGGGAUGGAGCAGCAUGGUAGCUCGUCGGGCUCAUAACCCGAAGGUCGUUGGUUCAAAUCCAGCCCCCGCAACCA
rnacentral:tRNA from 1 species